rnacentral:lncRNA from 1 species
CUGAAGUGGACACUGGCAGGCUUGGCCAGCAAGUCUUUUCUCUCCCACCUCCCAACUGCUAAGUUCCUCUUUCCUGUUACUGUGUUAGCUCUUAGUGCAAAACCUGUCCAGCCUUUAGGAGGCAUCAGUCUAGUCUAGGCUGCUACUUUGCAAGUGAUUAUAGGGACUACUGCCUGGUGGAAGCCCAGAUUUCAUGGUGUAUCUUUGAAGAACAGGCUUUCUAAUAUUUGUAAAACAUUUGCACAUCGCUUACAAAUAUUUGCUGCUCUUGCAAACAUGUAUGAACUUGGCUUUAUAACAGCCAGUAAGGUUGUCCUCUCCUCACUGGCUGUAUGAUAGAUGAGGUGUGGGACCAGAUGUGGAAGCACUGCAGACAGCAUCAGCUGGAGUUACUGAGUUGUGCUGGAACUGGAGAAAACAGAGUUCAGUUCUUUCUUCUACUAUUGCUGGCUUGGAUGACCUGGGAACUGGUCUUAUUUAUGUGUUGGAAGGACUUUGAGAAAGUGCACUCAGAGGAAGACCUUGAAGGAGAUCAUACUGUUUUCUCUACUUGGUACUGGAAUUUCAUACCAAAGUCAGCUAACAUUUGUCUGAGAUUACAUUCAAUUUUUCCUUUGAACCUGGAGUUUGGGAAACUUGGAGCGAAACUCAGCCGAUGCUUCUGCUUCAUACUUUACUUUGGACUGAAACCCUGCAAAAAGUUUCUGUUUAUGUUUUAUUUGGAACUACCUUCUCUCGUAUGUCACCUAGAGGUUGUUAUAUGUUUACCAACCUCCAAAUAG